rnacentral:rRNA from 1 species
AGAAUGAACGCUAGCGAUAUGCUUAACACAUGCAAGUUGAACGUUGUUUUCGAAUCAGAAUGAGAACAAAGUAGCGAACGGGUGCGUAACACGUGGGAAUCUGCCGAACAGUUUGGGCCAAAUCCCGAAUGAAUAAAAGCUAAAAAGCGCUGUUUGAUGAGCCCACGUAGUAUUAGGUAGUUGGUUAGGUAAAAGCUGACCAAGCCUACGAUGCUUAGCUGGUCUUUUCGGAUGAUCAGCCACACUGGGACUGAGACACGGCCCCAGACUCCUACGGGAGGCAGCAGUGGGGAAUCUUGGACAAUGGGCGAAAGCCUGAUCCGGCAAUAUGGCGUGAGUGAAGAAGGGCAACGCAGCUUGUAAAGCUCUUUCAUCGAGUGUGCGAUUGUGACAAGACUCGAAUAAGAACGCCCCGGCUAACCUCCGCGCCAGCAGCCGC